rnacentral:rRNA from 1 species
AGUGAACGCUGGCGGUAGGCCUAACACAUGCAAGUCGAACGGCAGCACAGUAAGAGCUUGCUCUUACGGGUGGCGAGUGGCGGACGGGUGAGGAAUACAUCGGAAUCUACUUUUUCGUGGGGGAUAACGUAGGGAAACUUAAGCUAAUACCGCAUACGACCUACGGGUGAAAGCAGGGGAUCUUCGGACCUUGCGCGAUUGAAUGAGCCGAUGUCGGAUUAGCUAGUUGGCGGGGUAAAGGCCCACCAAGGCGACGAUCCGUAGCUGGUCUGAGAGGAUGAUCAGCGACACUGGAGGGGAGACACGGACAAGACUCCUACGGGACGCAGCAGUGGGGAAUAUGGGACAAUAGGCGCAAGCCUGAUCCAGCCAUACCGAGUGGGUGAAGAAGGCCUUCGGUUUGUAAAGCCCUUUUGUUGGGAAAGAAAAGCAGCAGGUUAAUACCCCGCUGUUCUGACGGUACCCAAAGAAUAAGCACCGGCUAACUACGUG